rnacentral:rRNA from 1 species
AGCGAACGCUGGCGGCAGGCCUAACACAUGCAAGUCGAGCGCCGUAGCAAUACGGAGCGGCAGACGGGAGAGUAACACGUGGGAACGUGCCCUUCAGUUCGGAACAACCCAGGGAAACUUGGGCUAAUACCGGAUACGUCCGUAAGGAGAAAGAUUUAUCGCUGAAGGAUCGGCCCGCGUCUGUUUAGCUAGUUGGUGGGGUAACGGCCCACUAAGGCGAUGAUCAGUAGCUGGUCUGAGAGGACGAUCGGCCUCACUGGGACUGGGACACGGCCCAGACUCCUACGGGAGGCAGCAGUGGCGAAUAUUGACAUAUGGGCGCAAGCCUGGUCCAGCCAGGCCUCGUGGGUGAUAAAGGCCCUAGGGUUGUAAAGCCCUUUCGGCGGGGAAGAUAAUGACGUUACCCGCAGAAGAAGCCCCGGCUAACUUCGUGCCAGCCGCCGCAGUAAAAC